rnacentral:rRNA from 1 species
UGGGGAAUUUUGGACAAUGGGCGAAAGCCUGAUCCAGCAAUGCCGCGUGUGUGAAGAAGGCCUUCGGGUUGUAAAGCACUUUUGUCCGGAAAGAAAUCCUUGGCUCUAAUACAGUCGGGGGAUGACGGUACCGGAAGAAUAAGCACCGGCUAACUACGUGCCAGCAGCCGCGGUAAUACGUAGGGUGCAAGCGUUAAUCGGAAUUACUGGGCGUAAAGCGUGCGCAGGCGGUUUGCUAAGACCGAUGUGAAAUCCCCGGGCUCAACCUGGGAACUGCAUUGGUGACUGGCAGGCUAGAGUAUGGCAGAGGGGGUGAGAAUCCACGUGUAGCAGUGAAAUGCGUAGAGAUGUGGAGGAAUACCGAUGGCGAAGGCAGCCCCUGGCAAGUACUGACGCUCAUGCACGAAAGCGUGGGGAGCAAAC